rnacentral:lncRNA from 1 species
UUAAAUAUCCCACGAGGGAAUAAGGGGGUUCCAAUCAGAUACAAAAUCAUAGUAAAAGUUCGACUUGUAAAAUACUGUGUUGAGAUACCAAUGUUAAUAAUCGAAAUAAAUGAUAAUUGUAUUCUGGGUAUCGAUUUUCUUAAAUUACUUAAUUUACAAAAUGUUUUUGAUUGCGUUUUCUCGGAACAGUUUCUGAUUUUAAAUGCGCUCACGUAUUUGCGGAAAGAAUUAUAGAAAAAAAAGAAGAAAGUAUUGCGUUUGCUGGAGUUCUGUCGAAUUUGGUGAUUUUUUGAGGAGAGCUUGCGCUGUUUGGGGAACCUUGAAAAAGAAAACUUUGCUAAUUUUCUGAACAAAUUUUAUGAUGUAUUUUCUCAUGAUGUUAUUGCGGAGAAUUGUAAAUUUGGAGAACAUGUUAUUAAUGUGAAAGAUUCUUCUCCCAUCAAGCAGAUACCUCGUCGUAUCUCUUUGCAAAUGAGAAAAGAGGUGGAUGAAAUUAUUGUGGAAAUGGAAAGACAAAGGGUAAUUAAGAAAUUCAUCAGUCCAUGGACAUCGCCAGUGGUACUGGUUAAGAAGAAGGACGGUACAAUAAGAUUCUGUGUGGAUUAUCGCAAAAUUAACACAAUUACGAUAAAAAAAACUCUUACCCCUUACUAAGGAUAGAUGAUAUUCUCGACCAAUUAUCAGGUCAUAUCAUAUCAGCAGAGGAUAUUGCUACAGAUCCAGAGAAAAUAAACUGUGAAGGACUGGCCAUUCCCUCAAAAUAAAAAACAUUUAAGGAAUUUUCUUGGAUUUUGCUCAUAUUAUCGCAAAUUCGUAAAAAGAUUCUCUUCGUUGGCAAAGUCGCUUUAUGUACUAACAGAAAAUCAAACUAAAUUUAUUUGGAAAAGGAAAUACCAAAAUUCUUUUAAUGAUUUAAAACGAGUUUUAACUUCUCCGCCAAUAUUAGCAUUCCAUGAAACGGAAAGAGAAUUUAUUCUAGAUACAGACGCGUCAAAUGAGGGAAUUGGCGCGGACCUAUCAUACAAGCAAACCGGUAUAGAAAGAGUGAUUUUAUAUUUCAGUCAAACAUUAAGCAAAGCCGAAAGAAAUUAUUGCGUCACGCGGCGUAAACUUUCAGCCAUUAGUACGAUUAGUGAAAUCUUUCCAUCAUUAUUUGUAUGGAUGUAAGUUUCUUUCGGACGGAUCACAUUUCGCUUAAAUGGCUGUUGUCGUUUAAAGACUUAGAGGGACAAUUGGCGCGUUGAAUGGAAAGAAUACAACAAUACGAUUUCGAGGUUGAUUAUAAGGUCUUUCUCAUAAAAACGCGGAUUGUCGAGGCGGCCGUGCGCCAGUGAUUAUUGCCGCUAUUGUGCUAACGUGGAACUAAAAGAAGCCACAAAGCAGGAAAGUUAUGUUAGAAGAAUGGUUUUACAGAAGGCAGUUGCGAAAAUUGGCGUAAGGAACAAAUGAAAGAUCCCUGUAUUUGCUUAUUUUUAUCAAAAAAAGAAGCGAACGUGAGACGUCCUUCAUGGCAACAAGUGGCGGCGAUGUUUCUACCAAGGUGUAUUGGUCCUAUUAGGAUUCUCUCGAAGUUAAGGACAGUGUACUCUAUAAAAAAUGAGAGUCUCCUAAUCUGAAGAACACAAUCUUCCAAUUAAUUGCGUCCAGAAAACUCAUAGCACAAAUUUUUGAGAAGAAGAAAAUGGCGUUCCCUUCAUGAAGACGGAAAGAUGUCCGAGCGAGUUUCGUCCUAUGAGGGAGUAGCUACCCUCCGAGGAAAAAUUGAAGAGGGGUCCUGUCCAGAAGGGAAGAAGGCCUCAAGAAUAAACUUUGAGAGGAAAGUCGGAGACUUCCAAGGAGACCAAAGCUCAGGAAAACUGUUGUAGCAGCACAGUAGGGAGCAAGAAAUUGGUCCGGAGGGUGCUCCGAAUUCCUUUGAGAGGCCAACGUUCUUGGAAGAACCAAAAUUGUCGGGACGACAAUUUAAGAGAAGGGGAGCAGUGUUACGCCCUUGCCAUACCGUGGUUCGCCGCUCACGAAAUACUGAAGAUUGCAUUGCCCGGCAACGAGCCACUCAGCUGAUUAAUAAGAUCGGCAGACUUUGCGGUAGAGCUAUCGACAUGCUUUCCGCCUAAAUAUCUGAUUUCCGUUUGCUGUGUUUCUAUAUUCCUGCGUUUGCUUGUGUAAAUAAAGAAUUCUUUUCUUAUUUCA